AUUGAACGCUGGCGGCAUGCUUUACACAUGCAAGUCGAACGGUAACAGGCCGCAAGGUGCUGACGAGUGGCGAACGGGUGAGUAAUGCAUCGGAACGUGCCCAGCCGUGGGGGAUAACGAGGCGAAAGCUUUGCUAAUACCGCAUACGAUCUCAGGAUGAAAGCAGGGGACCGCAAGGCCUCGCGCUCACGGAGCAGCCGAUGGGAGAUUAGGUAGUUGGUGGGAUAAAAGCUUAACAAGCCGACGAUCUGUAGCAGGUCUGAGAGGACGAACAGCCACACUGGGACUGGGACACGGCCCAGACUCAUACGGUAGGCAGCAGUGGGGAAUUUUGGACAAUGGGCGCAAGCCUGAUCCAGCCAUGCCGCGUGCAGGAUGAAGGCCUUCGGGUUGUAAACUGCUUUUGUACGGAACGAAAAGACUCUGGUUAAUACCUGGGGUCCAUGACGGUACCGUAAGAAUAAGCACCGGCUAACUACGUGCCAGCCGCCGCCGUAAAAC
rnacentral:rRNA from 1 species